UGGCCGGGACGGCCCGGCCAGGCAAUGGAAAAGGACGGCCUU
rnacentral:ncRNA from 1 species